rnacentral:lncRNA from 1 species
GUAAAAAUAAAAUAAAAAUCUGUGGCUAACGGACUCGCAUCCAAGCCAUUUUUUCACUCACACACACACACACAAAACUUGACCGAUUUCGUAAUUAUUCAUAUUGAUAACUAUCGAUUAAAAAUCGAAAGCGGCCAUCAUGCAAAAGUCAUAUGUGAUCACUGCAGAGACAUGUAAAGAGGAUAGACUUGUCUAGGGAUAUGCUACUCAAUGCAUCGGGGUGUAACGCCGAUAUGAAGUAUGGUGGUCUAGCUAUCUUUGUCUGUCGUGCGAGUGUGAGCGUAUGUACCAAGAGGUGGGAGUAAUGGAACGACGUAAACACUGAGGCGGCGGCCAUCAUAUGCUAGAGAGAGAAAGCUAAGCGCCGGUAGAGAGAGAGAUAGAUAGACCACCGACCCGAACUGCUCCGCGUUACGCUAUUUUUCGGAACUGGGCCUAAUCUAUGUGUGUAAGAUCUUUGGAUCACUGUCAUGAAAUUUGUAUUACGUCAAAAAUUUAAAAAAUCCUUAAAUUGUAAUUAAGUAUUAAAACAAAUAUCAAAUUGUUAGCGAUAAAAUUUUUUAUGCACCACGUCAGUAAAGACUGUUUAUAGAACUUGUCUGUUAUUCGCCUCGCUCGCUAUGCGCAUAAUAUCAGACUAGUUCGAUAAAAAGUAAGUUUACUGACUUGGUACAUAAAUAACUAUUAAAAAUAUCGUUGAAUUCAUAAUUUUACUUUCUACUUCUACUUUGUUUUUGAUUAUGGCAUUACAAUUUGAAAAUUCUUAUACAGAAGCUCUUAUACAGUAAUGUCUGCGUAGCUAGGAACCAUGGACCUAUAAACACAGAUGGACUCAGCUAUUUACAUAAAAUUGUGAAGCCAAAAUUAUUUGAAUAGGUCACAAUCUAAGUACCUUCACAUGUUGUCACGUAUUUUUAUUAAAAUUUCUUAUUCGCGUAUUGCUGAAAAUGUUACUCUUUUAUGUCGUGUCUACAGAUGCUAUCAAACUAAAAUAAUAAUUGUUCAGUUAUAUUAAUUUACAUAUUGAAUGGUAAUUAAAAUAUCAAGUGUUCAUAUCAUUGAAUAAUAGAUAUCAACCAAUUAUUGUAUAUGUAGAAGCAUUGAAACUAUAAAUAAAUGGCAACGGUGUUUGCAUUUCUGUCUACAAACGUCCAUGUCAAAUAUUCCAUGUUUGUUUACUUUUUAAGGUAAUUGAGGAAAAGUUGUUUUUCGCUAUUUUGGCUAUAUUCUGAGUGAUAUUUUGUGAAAAGUGAAAUAAACAUACAUAAUAAUGGUGCUACAGUGUUGCAUUUGCAAAAAAAAAACUAAACAUUUAUAUCCGGAUCUUUCAUUUCAUUUGAAAAUAGAACACGGUCAAACAGAAUAAAAUUCUUGACUUAGACCACGCUGGUUUUCAACAGCUCAAUUGUACACAACUCCAUUGGCGACAUCCUCAACCAUAAGAUUUAUUCUUAUCCUGAUGAUGCUGUGUUAUUAAACAAAAAAGGCGGAAACCAGCAUCCUGAAGAUAAAUCAAUUAUCUUUCGGUCUCAGUGAUGGAACAGUCAGGACACUGAACUCUUUGGAAUCAGCACAUUCCAGUACACCAGAAACUACUCAAUAUCAUUAUAUCGAUGCCUCAGAAGCCAAUCAGUUUUCUGGGAAUAAUUCUACCUUUCUCCCUUCGGGAGCCUCAAGCCAUCUACAUCACCGGUAAUGCUACUCUUCAGGCAAAGAUGACAGGAUGCAUCGCAACUAGACUGCUGCGACCUGCAACCAACACCACCAGUAAACUAGAGCUGCACUGACCUGAAGCCGUCCAUCUAGCCCAGAUCAAGAGAAGUCAACAGCUGUACCAUUCGACAUCAAGAAUAAGUUACCAUUGAACCAGAUAC